rnacentral:rRNA from 1 species
UACGGAGGGAGCUAGCGUUGUUCGGAAUUACUGGGCGUAAAGCGCACGUAGGCGGCGAUUCAAGUCAGAGGUGAAAGCCCGGGGCUCAACCCCCGGAACUGCCUUUGAAACUAGAUCGCUAGAAUCUUGGAGAGGUCAGUGGAAUUCCUAGUGUAGAGGUGAAAUUCGUAGAUAUUAGGAAGAACACCGGUGGCGAAGGCGGCCCACUGGAUCGGUACUGACGCUGAGGUGCGAAAGCGUGGGGAGCAAACAGG